rnacentral:snoRNA from 1 species
CUGCGAUGAUGUUGUUUCUUAGGACACCUUUGGAUUAAUCAUGAAAACAAUUACUCUCUGAUAUAUGCCGGGGGUAGU